UACGCAGGAAAGACAACUGGAAUGUAUUCGUAGAGGCAAGGACAAGAUAAGGUGCCAAAACUACAUCCUCGUCCUGCGUAAGAUCAAUGAUUCCCACCUGUAUGUCUGUGGGACAAACGCCUAUCACCCGCUGUGUGACCACAUGGUUAUCCAGAGGACAAAGAUGCAUUUGCAAGGAAGAGCUGAAGAGAGCAGAGGGAAAUGUCCUUUUGAGCCAACUCUGAAAUAUGCGGCUGUUUUUGUAGAUGGGGCAUUUUACUCAGCUACUUCAAAUAAUUUCUUGGGAACAGAACCUAUAAUACUUCGCAGCAUGCAAAAUCCUGUAAGAACAGAAUUUAAAACGUCUUGGCUAAAUGGUAAGAAGCUUUAUGCAUACUUCAGGCUCAAGAGAGCAUCUGUUGGUGUGUGAACCAUCUCUAGAAUGUAACAGUGUGUUAUGUUGGGUUGGCAGCGGCCUGAAAUGGGAAUUCAAAACGUUGUGCCUGAGAUCUGCAGUGAUGAGGCAAGCCUCUGCCUCUCUCCAUUUAAAACGCAAUUCCUUCUUUUAAUUUUUCAUAUUCAUAAAUACUUUUCAACUCUUAACUUUAAUUAGACUUACUGUUAAAUCAAUA